AAUAAGUGAAGUUUUACGCUCUUCAUUUCCAACGUUUGACCGUUCGUCUUAUUUAAUUUUUUUUAUGAUUAGUAUUUUUAUUAGAUGAUAAAAUAUGAAUAGUACUUUAUGUGUGACUAAUUUUUUAAAUAAGAUAGACGGUCAAACAUUGGACACGGAUACCUACGGCUGCACUUAUU
rfam:Oryza meridionalis cultivar OR44 (W2112) chromosome 8, whole genome shotgun sequence.